UGAUGAUCUUCACCGGUUGUCUCGGGUGACCGCCAAGUUUACUUUGAAAAAAUUAGAGUGCUCAAAGCAGGCGCGACGCCUGAAUAAUUGUGCAUGGAAUAAUGGAAUAGGACCUCGGUUCUAUUUUGUUGGUUUUCGGAACACGAGGUAAUGAUUAAGAGGGACAGACGGGGGCAUUCGUAUUGCGACGCUAGAGGUGAAAUUCUUGGACCGUCGCAAGACGAACUACUGCGAAAGCAUUUGCCAAGAAUGUUUCCAUUAAUCAAGAACGAAAGUUAGAGGUUCGAAGGCGAUCAGAUACCGCCCUAGUUCUAACCAUAAACGAUGCCAGCCAGUAAUCCGCCUGUGUUCCUCAAAUGACACGGCGGGCGACUUCCGGGAAACCAAAGCUUUUGGGUUCCGGGGGAAGUAUGGUUGCAAAGCUGAAACUUAAAGGAAUUGACGGAAGGGCACCACCAGAAAUGGAGCCUGCGGCUUAAUUUGACUCAACACGGGGAAACUUACCCGGCCCGGACACAGGAAGGAUUGACAGAUUAAGAGCUCUUUCUUGAUUCUGUGGGUGGUGGUGCAUGGCCGUUCUUAGUUGGUGGGGCGACUUGUCUGGUUAAUUCCGAUAACGAACGAGACUCUAGCCUACUAAAUAGACGUUCC
rnacentral:rRNA from 1 species